AGACGAAUCAUCUGGAAAGAUGAAUCAAAGAAGGUAAUAAUCCUGUAGUCGAAAAUGUUGUCUCUCUUGAGUGGAUCCUGAGUACGACGGAGCACGUGAAAUUCCGUCGGAAUCUGGGAGGACCAUCUCCUAAGGCUAAAUACUCUCUAGUGACCGAUAGUGAACCAGUACCGUGAGGGAAAGGUGAAAAGCACCCCGGAAGGGGAGUGAAAUAGAACCUGAAACCGUGUGCUUACAAGUAGUCAGAGCCCGUUAAUGGGUGAUGGCGUGCCUUUUGUAGAAUGAACCGGCGAGUUACGAUUUGAUGCAAGGUUAAGCAGUAAAUGUGGAGCCGUAGCGAAAGCGAGUCUGAAUAGGGCGUUUAGUAUUUGGUCGUAGACCCGAAACCAGGUGAUCUACCCUUGGUCAGGUUGAAGUUCAGGUAACACUGAAUGGAGGACCGAACCGACUUACGUUGAAAAGUGAGCGGAUGAACUGAGGGUAGCGGAGAAAUUCCAAUCGAACCUGGAGAUAGCUGGUUCUCUCCGAAAUAGCUUUAGGGCUAGCCUCAAGUGAUGAUUAUUGGAGGUAGAGCACUGUUUGGACGAGGGGCCCCUCUCGGGUUACCGAAUUCAGACAAACUCCGAAUGCCAAUUAAUUUAACUUGGGAGUCAGAACAUGGGUGAUAAGGUCCGUGUUCGAAAGGGAAACAGCCCAGACCACCAGCUAAGGUCCCAAAAUAUAUGUUAAGUGGAAAAGGAUGUGGCGUUGCCCAGACAACUAGGAUGUUGGCUUAGAAGCAGCCAUCAUUUAAAGAGUGCGUAAUAGCUCACUAGUCGAGUGACACUGCGCCGAAAAUGUACCGGGGCUAAACAUAUUACCGAAGCUGUGGAUUGUCCUUUGGACAAUGGUAGGAGAGCGUUCUAAGGGCGUUGAAGCAUGAUCGUAAGGACAUGUGGAGCGCUUAGAAGUGAGAAUGCCGGUGUGAGUAGCGAAAGACGGGUGAGAAUCCCGUCCACCGAUUGACUAAGGUUUCCAGAGGAAGGCUCGUCCGCUCUGGGUUAGUCGGGUCCUAAGCUGAGGCCGACAGGCGUAGGCGAUGGAUAACAGGUUGAUAUUCCUGUACCACCUAUAAUCGUUUUAAUCGAUGGGGGGACGCAGUAGGAUAGGCGAAGCGUGCGAUUGGAUUGCACGUCUAAGCAGUAAGGCUGAGUAUUAGGCAAAUCCGGUACUCGUUAAGGCUGAGCUGUGAUGGGGAGAAGACAUUGUGUCUUCGAGUCGUUGAUUUCACACUGCCGAGAAAAGCCUCUAGAUAGAAAAUAGGUGCCCGUACCGCAAACCGACACAGGUAGUCAAGAUGAGAAUUCUAAGGUGAGCGAGCGAACUCUCGUUAAGGAACUCGGCAAAAUGACCCCGUAACUUCGGGAGAAGGGGUGCUCUUUAGGGUUAACGCCCAGAAGAGCCGCAGUGAAUAGGCCCAAGCGACUGUUUAUCAAAAACACAGGUCUCUGCUAAACCGUAAGGUGAUGUAUAGGGGCUGACGCCUGCCCGGUGCUGGAAGGUUAAGAGGAGUGGUUAGCUUCUGCGAAGCUACGAAUCGAAGCCCCAGUAAACGGCGGCCGUAACUAUAACGGUCCUAAGGUAGCGAAAUUCCUUGUCGGGUAAGUUCCGACCCGCACGAAAGGCGUAACGAUUUGGGCACUGUCUCAACGAGAGACUCGGUGAAAUCAUAGUACCUGUGAAGAUGCAGGUUACCCGCGACAGGACGGAAAGACCCCGUGGAGCUUUACUGUAGCCUGAUAUUGAAAUUCGGCACAGCUUGUACAGGAUAGGUAGGAGCCUUUGAAACGUGAGCGCUAGCUUACGUGGAGGCGCUGGUGGGAUACUACCCUAGCUGUGUUGGCUUUCUAACCCGCACCACUUAUCGUGGUGGGAGACAGUGUCAGGCGGGCAGUUUGACUGGGGCGGUCGCCUCCUAAAAGGUAACGGAGGCGCUCAAAGGUUCCCUCAGAAUGGUUGGAAAUCAUUCAUAGAGUGUAAAGGCAUAAGGGAGCUUGACUGCGAGACCUACAAGUCGAG
rnacentral:rRNA from 1 species